UACGUAGGGUGCGAGCGUUGUCCGGAAUUAUUGGGCGUAAAGAGCUCGUAGGCGGUCUGUCGCGUCGAUCGUGAAAACUUGGGGCUUAACCCUGAGCUUGCGGUCGAUACGGGCAUGACUGGAGUUCGGCAGGGGAGACUGGAAUUCCUGGUGUAGCGGUGAAAUGCGCAGAUAUCAGGAGGAACACCGGUGGCGAAGGCGGCAUCCUGGACCGGUAUUGACGCUGAGGCGCGAAAGCUAGGGGAGCAAACGGG
rnacentral:rRNA from 1 species